GCCACAGCAGCCCAUGGUUCUGGUGGAUUGAGGGUGGAGCAGGUAGAGGAGCAGGCAUGACUGCAGAGGGAGCUGAACCGACAUUUCUGAAGGAAGACGUGCAAAUGACCAAUGAGAGCUUGAAGAAAUUCUCAGCAUCAUUCAUCAUCAAAGACACACAAGUCAAAACCACAACGAGGUGUCCUCUCAUCCCACAGAAUGGCCACGAUCAAAAAGGCAAAAAUAAAUCCUGCAGAGGAAGUGAAGAAAGGGAACUCGCAUGCUGUUAGUGGGAAGUUGUACAACCACUAAGGAAAAUGGUUUGGAGGUUCCUCAAAAAGCUCAAAAUAGAGCUAACCCAGCAAUCCGUCAUGAUAUUUUGAUACACGUAUACAAUGUGUAGAGAUCAUUCAGAGUGAACAGUAUAUCAUCUCCUCAAACAUUUAUCAUUUCUUUGUGUUGGGAACACUCAAUAUCUUCUCCUCUAGCUAUCUGCAAAUGUGCAAUAAAUUAUCGUUAACCCCAGUCAUCAUACAGUGCUACAGAACACUAUGGCUUAUUCCCCCUGUGUGGCUGUAGUUUUGUAUAUGUGAACCAGGCUCUCCCCUUUCCCUCCUCCCCACCCCUUCCCAGCCCCUGCUUACCACCCUUCUACUCUCUACUCCUGAGAUCAACUUCUUUAGCUUGCACCGGUGAGUGAGAUCAUGCAGUUCAUCUUUCUGUGCCUGGCUUAUUUCAUUUAACAUAAUGUCUUCCAAGCUCACCUGUAUUGUCACAUAUGGCAGAAUUUUGGUCUGUUUUAGGGUUAAAUAGAAUUCCACUGUGUGUAUACACCAUCUUUUCUUUUCCAUUACUUUUCCAUUCAUCUGUUGACAAGCACUUAGGUGCUUUCAUAUCGUGGCUAUUGUGAGCAGUGCUGCAAUAAACAUGGGGUGCAGAUGUCUCUUCAACACACUGAUUUAUUUUCCUUUGGAUACACACCCCAUAGAGAUCGCGCCACAGCACUCCAGCCUGGGCGACAGAGCGAGGCUCUGUCUCAAAAAAAAAAAAAAAUCCUAGAAGAAAAGUUAGGAAAUUUCCUUCAUGAUAUCAGCCUCGGAAAAAAAAAGUAUGGCUAAGUCCUCAUAAGCAAUUGCUACAAAAACAAAAAUUGACAAGCGGGACCUAAUUAAACUGAAGAGCUUCUGCACAGUAAGAGAAACUAACAGGGAGUCAACACUCAACCUACAAAAUGGGUGAAAAUAUUCACAUGCUGUGCAUUUGACAAAAGUCUAAUAUCUGCAAUCUACAAGGAACUUAAACAAAUCAACAAGCAAAAGACAAAUAACUUCAUUAAGAAGUGAGUAAAGGAUAUGAACAGACACUUCUCAAAAGAAGACAUGCACAUGGCCAACAGCUAUAUGAAAAAAUGCUCCACAUCACUAACUAUUAGGGGAAUGUAAAUCAAAACCACCACGAGAUACCAUCUCAUAUCAGUCAGAAUGGCUUUUGAUAAAAAGUAAAAAACAACACAAAACAAAAAAACCUAAAAUCAGAUGCUGGCAAAGCUUGAGAGAAAAGGGAACACUUGUACACUGUCGGUGGGAAUGUAAAUGAAUUCAGCCACCACGGAGAGCAGUUUGGAGAUUUCUCAAAGAGCUAAGAAUUGAACUACUAUUUGACCCAGCAAUCUCAUUAUUGGGUAUAUACCCAAAGGGAAAUAUAUCAAUCUACCAAAAAGACACAUGCAUCUAUAUGUUAAUUGCAGUGCUAUUCACAGAAGCAAAGAUGUGGAAUCAACCCAGGUGCCCAUCAAUGGUGGAUUGGAUAAAGAAAAAGUGGUACAUAUACACCAUGGAAUACUACACAGCUACAAAAAAGAAUGAAGUCAUAUCUUUUGCAGCAAUAUGGAUGAAGCUGGAGGCCAUUAUCCUAAGAGAACUAAUGCAGAAGCAGAAAACCAAAUACCACAUAUUCUCACUUAUAAGUGAGAGCUAAACUUUGAGUCCACAUGGACAUAAAGAUGAAAACCAUAGACACUGGGGAACAACAGGAGGGAGGAAUGGAGGGAGGGGGCAAGGGCUGAAUACUGGGGAACAAGAGGAGAGAGCAAGGGGGCAAGGACUGAAAAGCUACUGGGUACUACAGUCACUAUUUUGGUGAUGGAUUCAUUCAUACUCCAAACCUCAGCAUCACACAAUAUACCCAUGUGACAAACCUGCACAUGUACUGCCUGAUUCUAAAAUAAAAGUUGAAGAAAAAGUUCUUUAUAUACUCUAGAUACUAGAUGCUUAUCAGAUAUCUGAUUUGUAAAUCUUUUCUUCCUUUAUUAUGUAGACUGUUCUUUCACUUUGUUGAUAGCGUCCUUUGGUGCAAAAAUAUUUAACUUUUGAUGGCAUCCAAUGUAUUUGUAUUUCUCUUUUGUUGCUGGUGCUUUUGGUGUCCUAUCUAUGAAUCCACACCGAAUCCAAGGUCAUGUUUUCUUUUAAUAGUUUUAUAGAUUUGACUCUUAAAUGUAGGCCUUUUGACCCAUUUUAAAUUAAUUAGUGUAUGUGGUGUGAAGUAGGGGUCCAGCUCAUUCCUGUGCAUGUGGAUGUCUAGUUUCCCAGCACCAUUUGUUGAAGUACUGCUCUUCCUCCAUUGAAUGAUCUGGCACCCUGUCAAAAAUCAGUUGGUCAUCUACAUGAGGGUUUAUUUCUGGCUCUCAAUUCUAUUCCACUGGUUUAUACAUUUAUUCUAACAACAGUGCUAAACUGCCCUGAUGACUGCAGCUUUGUAGUAAGUUUUCAAAUUGGCAAGUGUGAGCCCUCCAACAUUGUUCUUCUUUUUAACCUUGUUUUAGCUAUUCCGGGUCCCUUGAGAUUCCACAUGAACUUUAAAAUCAGCCUGUGAAUUUCUACAAAGAAGCCGGCUGCUUUCCUGAUAGAGAUUGCAUAGACUCUGCAGAUCAAUUUUGGAGGUAUUGCCAUCUGAAAAAUGUUAAGUCUCCUGAUACAUGAACAUCAGUCUGCCUUUGGGCUGCCAUAACAAAAUACCACGGAUUUGGUGGCCCAACAACAGGCAUUUAUUUUCUCACAAUUCAGAAGUCCAAGAUCGGGUGCAAGCAACUUUAGUUUCUGGUGAGGGCUCUCUCUUUGGGUUGCAGAUGGCCGCUUUCCCACUCUUUGCUCACAUGGCCUUUCCUUUGUGUGUGGAGAGAGAAAGAGAUGGAGGGAGGAAGAGAGAGAGAGAGAGAAAGAGAGAGCGAGACAGAGGCAAAUGCUCCCUGGUGUCUCUUCUUAUGAAGAUGCAAAUCCUAUGGAAGCCCUUAUGACCUUAUGUAACCUUAAUUUCUUCCUUGGAGAACUCGUCUCCAUAUACAACCACAAUGGGAGUGAUGGAUUCAACAUAUGAAUUUGAAAGAACAUGAAUAUUCAGUCCACAACAAAUCUGGGAUGUUUUAGAUCUUCUUUAGUUUCUUUCAACAGUGUUUUGUCACUUUCAGAGUUGCAAGUGAGUAGAAAUACAAUUGAUUUUUAUAUAUUGGUCCUGUAUUCUGAAAACUUGCUGGAUUCAUUUAUUAGUUCUAUAAUCUAUAAAACACUGGCCGAGCACGAUGGCUCAUGCCUAUAAUCCCAGCAAUUUGGGAGCCCAAGGCAGGUGGAUCACAUGAGGCCAAGAGUUCAAGACCAGCCAGGCCAACAUGGUGAAACCUCAUCUCUACUAAAAAUAUAAAAACUAGCUGGGCAUGGUGGUGCAUGCCUGUAAUCACAGCUACUUGGGAGGCUGAGGUGGGAGAAUUGCUUGAACCAAGGAGGCAGAGGUUGUAGUAAGCUGACAUUGUGCCACUGCACUCCAACAACCGAGCGAGACCCUGUCUCAAAAAAAAAUCUAUAAAACAUUAGUAGCUCUUACAAAUUGACAAGUAGAAUACAAACAACCAAGUUUUGAAAAAGAUGAUUCUCUGAUAAACAAAUGGAAAUGUGCAAUUAAAAAUAUAAAAAGUAAAUCAGACUCACUGGUAGUCAGAUACACGGGAUCUUUUCUGUGGAGUCCUAAUGAUGGAAAAGGAGCCAGGUUGGUUGGACCAAGGGAAAGCAAAAAGAGAAGGCAGAUGAACUACAAGUCUGCCUUUCUUCAUGGUUCAGGACUUAGCCCUCCUAUGCAAAUAACUCACAUAACUCACAAUCUUCCUGCACUCAACUUAUGACCUCAGUUGAUAGAAAAAUGCAAAUUAGCUCACUGAAACCUUGGCAUUAUCAGCACUGCAUGUAACCCUCUCCGGCACAAGCACCAUCCUAUAAAAUCCCCAGCAAGCCUUUGUCUCCUGGCAGCCAGCUCCUCCCUUGCUGACCUGCCCUUUCCAUUCUUGCAACGUAUUUUCCUACAUUCUCUAAUAAAUCUGCCUUUCCUUACCUACAGUCUUGGUAAAUUCCUUUUCUGCCCACGCUAGUGGACUCAGUUAGUGGCUACCUGCAAUAUUUUAUAUCUACUAGACUGACAAAAAUUAACAAGAAUAAUAACACCUAUUGCUAGUGAAAUUGGG
rnacentral:lncRNA from 1 species